rnacentral:lncRNA from 1 species
AACCCUAGCUAUGUUUCCAGAAAUUCGUAUGAAUGUUCUUGUUUGCUAUUGCUUUUGUUGUAUGAACAUUAAUGCCAUGCUGUUGCCACGCUAUUGGAAUAUCGAUUGAUGAUGCUCGCAUGAAAAUGAGGUGCAUGCUGUUUCCAAACCCUAGGCUGCAUAAAGUUCAAACCCUGCCCAGAAACAUGUUAACAUGAUUGGUUGUUUAUUUGAACCUUUUACCCGAGUUACUGUUCUAUUGGCGAGGACCAAUCAGA